GGUUAAGUUAGAAAGGGCGCACGGUGGAUGCCUUGACACUAGGAGUCGAUGAAGGACGGGACUAACACCGAUAUGCUUCGGGGAGCUGUAAGUAAGCUUUGAUCCGGAGAUUUCCGAAUGGGGAAACCCACCAUACGUAAUGGUAUGGUAUCCUUAUCUGAAUACAUAGGAUAAGGAGGACAGACCCAGGGAACUGAAACAUCUAAGUACCUGGAGGAAGAGAAAGCAAAUGCGAUUUCCUGAGUAGCGGCGAGCGAAACGGAACAUAGCCCAAACCAAGAG
rnacentral:rRNA from 1 species